UACUCUUUCCAAUAUUAUCAUUCAGCUAUUGCAUUUCUUUCCAUUGUUCAUCUCUUUUUUUCUACUUUGCAUAUUUCAAUUCUUGUAAGAAUUAUACUUUCUUGAAUUCAUAUUAGUAGUGUUAAGAUGGUAUCGACCCUGCGAUCUUCUGUGGGUUUGAAGCUCAAAGAUUGAAGUUUUUCAAGGUGGAUUUCUUAUGGGUUUUAUCUCUCUUUUACCAUGUUUCCUGUGAUAUGUGUAACGAUAUCUUCAAUUUCAGCGAUUGUAGUUAUCAUUGCAAUCUAUGAUGCUAAGAUGGAAUCGGACAAAACAUCAGUGAAGAACUGGCACAAGAAUAUGAAACACUACAUUAUACUUCAUCUACUUCAGUACAAGAUCAACCUCAACCUUUGUUAUCUAUCCUAGAUCCUGCAUAGCUUCAGGUACUUAUUCCAAUCUCAGUUUUUGAUAAUGAACACUUUAUGAGUUCUUCUAAUUCUGAAGUACAUAGAGUGCAUCCAAUGAAUACUAGAUUGCAAUCAAGAAUCAUUAGCAGGAAAGAUUAUACUACAUAUUAUUAAUUUUUACCUGAAUUACAGUUUCUUCAAUUGGAUGAUUAUUAUAUGUGUUGUGAUGGUUUCUUAUUUGGUUGAAACUAUGGAUUGUGAAGAACCUAAGAACUUUAGAAUUGCUACAACUAAUUCUUAUUGGUAGCAAGCAAUGCAGGAAAAGUUUGAAACUCAAGGAACAUGGAUUUUGGUACCUCCUCCAAGUGAUAAGACAAUAGUUGAGAUCAAAUGGGUUUAUAAAGUUAAGAAGAACACAGAUUGAAGUAUUGCUAAAUACAAAGUUGAGUUGGUUGCUCAAGAUUAUACACAGAAGCAUGGUUUGGACUAUUCUGAAAUCUUUAGUCUUGUAGUGAGGCAUACAACAGUUAGGUUGAUUCUUGCUCUUGCUACAUGUCAUAAAUGGGAGCUUAGACAAUUGGAUAUCAAAAAUGUUUUUUUGUAUGGUGAGUUACAGGAAGACAUUUUCAUGAAACAACCAUAAGGUUUUGUAGAUCCAAAUGUCCCAAUUAUGUUUUUAAGUUGGCUAAAUCUUUAUAUGGACUUAAACAAGCUCCAAGAGCUUGGAAUUCAAAGUUUACUGGAGUUUUACUUCUUU